AAUGUACUCCCUCCGUUCCAAAUUACUUGUCGCAGAUAUGGAUGUAUCUAGAUGUAUUUUAGUUCUAGAUACAUCCAUUUCUGCGACGAGUAAUUUGGAACGGAGGGAGUAUUUU
rnacentral:pre_miRNA from 1 species